UGCUGAAUAGAGAUAUUGGGCUGCACGGUGAUUCAUGAUAUGAAAUUUGUUUUCAAUUGUUGAUGCUCUGCACACGUUGUUUAAGCACACGGAUAUAGAUGGGACAUGCUAGAAUCCGCUGAUUGUUAGACAACAAUUUAUUUUUUUUAGAAGUAGAAAAGUGAUUUGAUUGGAGUUGGUGGCUGUUUUCCUUGGAGUUGCGUUGAUCAAGUGAGCACAUGGAAGCGUGGCGUUGAUUCACUUUUAAGGCUGCAUAGUUCACGGUGAUUUUAUUUGAUUCAUUCACUUUUUGCUUAUGAAAAACACACGUUGAUUUAUG
rnacentral:lncRNA from 1 species